rnacentral:lncRNA from 1 species
GGGUGACGGAAAGAGAAGGAGAAGACGGGAGGAGGGUGAGGGUGGGUGACGGGAGCUAUGAACAGAGAGUAAAAGUGACAUUAAAAGUAAAAAAGUAAAAAAAAAAAGUAAAAAGAGUUAAAAAGAGAAAAAAAAAAGGUUAUUUUUGUAAUACAAAAAAGAUGGAGAAAGUUGGGGAGGUGGAGGGAGGAAACGAGGAGGUAGAGAGAGUAACACCCAAAAUUUUACCACUUGAAGCAAAAAUCUCAAAUAAGAAACUAAAUCCGCUAAAGAAUUGAAUAACAAGAGAGAGGGUGUUUCAUCUUCCACCUCCAAGCAUUUCAUCCUGCACCUCCAAACUUUAAUAAAAUUCCAAUUUUAACCCUAAUUAAAAAUGUAUUUUAAUUUUUAAAAUCUGUUUAAUCUUUAAAGGUGGUCAAAGAUUCCACUGCACAGUUUGAAUUUCAGAGAGAGAGAGUGUGAUGAUAUUGAAUUUGAGAGAGAGAGUAUCGGAAUUCACUCUCACUCUCACAGAACACCAUUAUUUUCCNNN